ACACCCUUGUCUUGUUCCUGUUCUCAGGAGGAAUGCUUUCAACUUUAACUGAUUUAGUAUGAUGUUGGCUGUGGGUUUGUCAUAUAUGGCUUUUUAAAUUUCGAGAUUUCUUAGUUGCCUGCAACAGAAACUGAUUCUGGCUGAUUUAAGCAAAAAAGAAAUUUGUUGGCAGGAUUCUGGAUGGUUUAGAGAAUCACCAGGAAGUCAGGAACAAAGAGUUCCUGGGCAGCUGGCACCACAGUGCAGAUCAUGACAUGGAACACAGAGGAAUGGCUGCUGCCAUCUUUGACCAUGGGAUGCCACAUCUCGAAACACCAACUCUGCUGGUCCCCAGAGCCCAGAUACAGCUACUUGUGCUUCUAUCACCGUGUCCCUGGAAACAGAUGUUGCUGCUAUUACUGGAACUGCCAUAAAAGAUUCUCUGCUGCCUGGCUUUUUUGCUCCCCAAUCUGAGCUUAUGAUAAAUGCCUCACUGUUGCUGCAAGGAGGGGGCCAAUACCCAGGACAGUAAGCACUUGGCCUUUCUUCCAUUUCUACCGUGAAAGAUGGCUCUGCCUCCCACCCAAACUCAGAAAGCGGGGAAUUUCCCAAACAUUGGAAAACCUUCAGAUGUGGAGUGCCCUCCCACUAAAAACAUUCCCAUCACUGUCCACUUGCAUCAUUUAGUCCUAGCAUUUUAAAGAAGGUCCCCUUUAGGAACUGAUUUUGAAUCUUCAUAAAUGAUUUUCCUGCUCCUCUUGAGAUAAUCAUAUGGUUUCUCUUAUUUGACCCAUUGAUAUGUUCUAUAAACAGAUUUACUAAUAUUAAAACAGCUUUGCAUUCUUCGGUAAACCCUA
rnacentral:lncRNA from 10 species